rnacentral:tRNA from 2 species
AGCGGGUUGGAGGAGUAGUACCUCGACAGGCUCAUAACCUGUAGGCGUCCGUGCAAAUCGGGCACCCGCAACCA